CCUACGGGUGGCAGCAGUCGAGAAUCAUUCACAAUGGGCGCAACCCUGAUGCUGCGACGCCGCGUGGGGGAAUGAAGGUCUUCGGAUUGUAAACCCCUGUCAUGUGGGAGCAAAUUAAAAAGAUAGUACCACAAGAGGAAGAGACGGCUAACUCUGUGCCAGCCGCCGCGGUACUACAGAGGUCGCAAGCGUUUUUCGGAAUUACUGGGCGUAAAGCGGGUGUAGGCGGUUUAGUAAGUUGGUUGUGAAAGGCGCGGGCUCAACCCGCGGACGGCACAUGAUACUGGGAGACUAGAGUGAGGGAGGGGGAAGCGGAAUUCCCGGUGUAGCAGUGAAAUGCGUAGAUAUAGGGAGGAACACUCGUGGCGAAGGCGGGUUCCUGGACAGUAACUGACGCUGAGGCACGAAGGCCAGGGGAGCGAAAGGGAUUAGAUACCCGUGUAGUC
rnacentral:rRNA from 1 species